GGAAAGGCAGAUGGAAUAAGAAAAAUUAAUGUGUUUCUUUGGUAACAAUUUUAUUAAAUUCCACCAUAACUGCAUAUACUAUUAAUCUAAAAUCUUUACUGCUUCAGGAUUAUGGAGUUUACAUUUCUAUUCUGGAGAAUUUAUUUUAUAUUGGUAAUUUCCCUGCUUUCUCUUAGAUUCAUACUUAGCUUCCUUCAAUCCGUAUGGGUGGGACUGGGAGUCUACAAACAUUUCUCCGAUCCUUUUCUUGUGGUCUUGAUAUUAACUUCUGCCUCCCAGAGGUACUGGUCAAAAGUCAGAAGUCUGGGCAGUACAGAGAUGUUGUCAGCUCCUGUUUUUUUCUGAUAUGGCAGCUGGAGUCACUCCAGACUCCAGUAAUCCAGCCAGAAUCGUUUCUUUUUUCAGUGGUUUUACUAACAGAAAGGGAGACUCCUUCCAGAAGUUCCCAAAUCAAUUUUAAGAGCAGGAUGCUAAGUACAGGCUCAUGAGCUUCAUCCCACGGAUAUUAGAACUUCUGAUCUUUGAAUAUUUACCCUAUCUUAGUUUUUGCUCUGUGCUUCCAACAAAUGUGUAACCUAUGUAUUAUAUUUCCUCAGGUACUGUAUUCCCUCUGAAACUCAGGUCUUGGAUAUAUUCUUGAAUCUUAAGACAUAUAACUUUAUCCUGUAUUGUUAUUUUCUAUUAGUUUAUUUUUCUUUCAUUAUUGUAUCCAAUAUGGCAGAAAAUACACUUGCUAUAUUCAUAUAUGUACUAUUAGCCCUUAGCACAGAGUUUGGCAUAUAUUAAGUAAAUAAGC
rnacentral:lncRNA from 1 species